ACAAGAUACGCCUGGAGCUCUAUCACGGAGGCGAAUAAUUUACGGUAUAAAAAGAUUUACAGCCGAGAGGGCUAACUCGUUGGAGCACACAAGCAAUUACAAAGCCAGCUAGAUACAACUUUUGGUACCAGCGGAGCGCAGCGCACAACCCUCGAAUACGCUCCUCGAGCCCUCUCUUGCCUCUUUUUUUUUUAUCCCGGGUGACAAUUCAUUUGUGCGCUCCAAGUCAAGUCAGAGCGCACUCCGUUGAAAUGAGAGCAGCAGCAUAAAGACCCUACAGCUUCGAGAGAGGGGACAGAGACAUAUUUAGUGUUUGACAGUGUCAGACAGUGAGCGGGGAACAGCAGAGGAGCACCUGUCUUCGCGGGAUGUCCUUGGAAAGCAGCUAAAACCGAGACGCAUCAUCGGUCUAGUCCGGGGACAGAAGCCUAAACAAAUGGGCGCUGCCAGCGUGGACCUGCUGGUCACCCUCCAGAUCCUGCCCGGUUUCUUCUCCAACUGCCUGUUCCUCGCGCUCUACGACUCGGUGGUGCUGGUGAAGCGCGUGGUGUCGUUGCUGAGCUGCCCUGGCGGCGGCGGGGGAGAGUGGCAGCGCAUGCUGACCUCGGCGGGGCUCCGUUCCAUAUGGAACAGCUUCCUGCUGGACGCAUACAAACAGGUGAAACUUGGCAGUGAGGCACCCAACUCCAAAGUGGUGAAGGUUCCUGGUAGUGGUGGUAACCAUGGCUUCCGGCGGCGGAGCAGUGUGACCACCACGGCCCGUCAUCCUGGAGACGAGUGCCGCCUGCUGGACUUUGAGUCAUCGGAGCGCCCUCUUGUGGUGAACUUCGGUUCAGCCACCUGACCCCCGUUCAUCAGCCACCUGCCCGCCUUCCGGCGGCUGGUGGAGGAGUUCUCUAACGUGGCCGACUUCCUGCUGGUCUACAUCGACGAGGCGCACCCCUCAGACGGCUGGGUGGCACCCACCAUGGGCCCAUGCUCCUUCGAGGUCAGGAAGCACCGGUCGCUGGAGGAGAGGGUGGUGGCGGCCAUGAAACUGACUGAGGCCUUCAGCCUGCCGCCUCAGUGCCAGCUGGUGGCUGACUGCAUGGACAACAAUGCUAACGUAGCCUACGGCGUGUCCUACGAGAGGGUGUGCAUCGUGCAGAGGAGGAAGAUCGCCUACCUGGGUGGGAAGGGACCCUUCUUCUACAACCUGAAGGAUGUGAGGCAGUAUCUGGAACAGAGAUAUGGCAAGAGAUAGGGGGCAGACAGAGAGGACGAGUUCUGUGACAACUGAACGGCUGAUAAGGGAAAGAGAGAAUAUUUAUUUUUGUAUAAAAGGAGAAUAAAAGGAAGGCGAGGUGCUUUCAGAACUGAUCUGUUCUGACCACAAAUGACAGGCAAUGCUUGGAACAGAACAUGUGACAUGUUCUAAAAUUCCCAAGUUCCACAUCUCUGGAACUUCCUUCCUGGAAGGAGACCAACAUUCCAUAAAACUUUUCACUGGAACACAAUAGAACAGAACCGAUAGACUAGAACAUGGACUGAUGCUCUGCUAACUAUGACAGUGAGUUGACUGAAAGAAGAAACUGAAUAGGUUGACCCGUGACAUGCUUUAUCAAUAACUUCAUCCCCAUUUGCUAAUAAUCUAAACGUUUUCAAGUUACAGUACACAUUAUCUUCUAACCUGGCUCCUUUCAAAACGAAAACCAAAUUACUGCACAGAGAAGAAAGCACAAGUGCCCAACUAUAUAUAUAUAUAUAUAUAUAUAUAUAUAUAUAUAUAUAUAUAUAUAUAUAUAUAUAAACAAUUAUAUUAAUUUAUUUCUAUGGAGUUUUGAAUGUUAUGUUGUUUGUUUUUACACCACGAUAAUAUUUUGUAUGUUGAUGCACUUGUAACGCUUUUUAUUUAAGAAAACAGUCCAUCAUAUAAGGGGUGUUACACCACUGUUUUCAACCAUCUAGAGUAGACUGUUUUAACCAUCUAGAGUAGACUGUUUCAACCAUCUAGAGUAGACUGUUUUAACCAUCUAGAGUAGACUGUUUUAACCAUCUAGAGUAGACUGUUUUCAACCAUCUAGAGUAGACUGUUUUAACCAUCUAGAGUAGACUGUUUCAACCAUCUAGAGUAGACUGUUUUAACCAUCUAGAGUAGACUGUUUUAACCAUCUAGAGUAGACUGUUUCAACCAUCUAGAGUAGACUGUUUUAACCAUCUAGAGUAGACUGUUUUAACCAUCUAGAGUAGACUGUUUUCAACCAUCUAGAGUAGACUGUUUUCAACCAUCUAGAGUAGACUGUUUUAACCAUCUAGAGUAGACUAGUUUCAACCAUCUAGAGUAGACUGUUUCAACCAUCUAUUGUAGACUGUUUAAACCAUCUAGAGUAGACUGUUUUCAACCAUCUAGAGUAGACUGUUUUCAACCAUCUAGAGUAGACUGUUUCAACCAUCUAGAGUAGACUGUUUCAACCAUCUAGAGUAGACUGUUUUCAACCAUCUAGAGUAGACUGUUUUCAACCAUCUCGACUCAGACACUUCCUAGUACAUCGUUCAUGUUAUACCACCACCUAGAGAAUAGACGUUAGCUCUGUGUCCAUCUCCUCCAUUAUGGGCGUUUUAACCCAAAAGACAAUGAGAGAGGGAGGGAAGUAAACCCAAGAGCAAAGCACAGAAUGAAGAAACAGAGGCAGUAUGUGUACUGUAGUCAGCACCAAGGCUACGUCGCUAGCUAGCUAGCUGUAAUCCCAGGGGCUGUUUGCUGUUGGUGAUGGUUCGUGUUAGCGAUGAGGCAGGGGUGUACAGAGAUGUAAUGGGUUGAGGGAGAUAGCCAUGUCUCCAAAAACCUAAGGUGAGUGUUCUGAAAGCUUUAUGGCUAACGUGGUACUUCAUUUCUCUCGACAACCCAGACUCAAGCCAUAUGUAGAACAUCAAACAUUGAUUUUGCAAUUGGUGCUCUCAUGGUUCAGUUGUCAAGAUAGACAAAGUGCCACGUUAGCCAUGAAGGUUCUGGGAAACUCUGAGUUCUGAGGUGUGUGGCAGGAAGUGAGAAAGGCUAAGGACAGCAGGUGAGGCAGGCUAAGAACAGGUGGUGUCUAGAUGCCUUAAGACGGUGUUUCAAAAGGGGUGUGUAUCAGUUUUAUGGUGUGACGUGACUGAAGAGGUUUUUAGUCGAUCAGACAGACAGUUGGUUUGGGUCGAGACGGGGCUGGUGUGAGAAUGAAAACCACUGACUAAAGGGUUACUGACUCAGUCUUUGGUCGGAUGACAGAACUCACCUCCUUGACGUAGACUCAAACCAACAUGUCUGAACAUCAUCAAGCCAACCAACAUUCGCACACAACCUCUCUCUCUAGGAGAGGUCCACCUCUCUCUCUAGGAGAGGUCUAUCUCUCUCUCUAAGAGAGGUCCAUCUCUCUCUCUAGGAGAGAUCCACCUCUCUCUCUAGGAGAGGUCCAUCUCUCUCUCUAGGAGAGAUCCACCUCUCUCUCUAGGAGAGGUCCAUCUCUCUCCAGGAGAGGUCCACCUCUCUCUCUAGGAGAGGUUCACCUCUCUCUCUAGGAGAGGUCCAUCUCUCUCUCUAGGAGAGGUCCAUCUCUCUCUUUAGGAGAGGUCCAUCUCUCUCUCUAGGAGAGGUCCAUCUCUCUCUCUAGGAAAAGUCCAUCAACUAAUAUUUGUUUUCUUUAACCAUAUGUGUAGAGCUGUGUUCAGAGGAGAGGAGUGACGGAAAGGAAAAUAAAGAUGAAUUUACUACUCUGUGA